rnacentral:lncRNA from 1 species
UUUCGAUAUAUAAAUGGAUUCGUUGCCUUCCGUCCAUAACUUGAGUUGAGCUACCAAACAAAGUAACAUUGUGCUAACAUUUACCAUUAACUCUUCCUUUACUUUUGCCUUUGUGUUUAUCAAUUUUAACAAAUUCACUUAAUAAUCACCAUCAUGAAGCUAUUCAUAUUUACUAUUUGUGUUGCUGGUUUUGCAGCGGUUGUACUCACUGCACCAACUGACACUUCCCAUACCCACACUCAUGCCGAAUCAACCAAUGAAACUGCUCACUCUGCCGGUCAUACACAUUCCCAUGAACACCAUAAUCACACCGAUGAAGGAUCCCAUUCUGGCCAUCAUGAAAUUAGUUUCCACCAUGGCCAUGAUCACGGCCAUGAUCAUCAUCAUCAUAAUUCACAUGCUAAUCAUUCUCAUGAGAGUGAUCAUUACGAAAAUGAUGGACACACUGCACACAAGCCUGGUGAUAAUGUUCACUCCCUUGAUCUUCACAUCAAAUGUCAUGGAGAGUACUCACCAUCUACUGAAUGUGCCAAUGGAACCAAUUCAUCUGAUAUUUUCUGGUUUGACAUGACUCGAAAUGUUUGCAACAAAUACGAAGUUGGUAAGUGCCCAUCAGCUGGAAGUAAAAACGUAUUCUCCUGCAUGGAUGAUUGUUUGAAAUGUAUCACUGAUGGUAACGCUAUUCAAGGAGCAGAACCUACUAUAGCUGUCCGAGCUGCACCUUCAACUGUUUCUGCAAGCACACCAAUGGCCACUUCACCAGCUCCAAGCACUGCAGCUAAACCAAGCUCAACUACUGCCGCCCCAAGUUCAACAACCACUGCUGCUGCUGCAAGUACAACUGCUGCCGCUAGUACAG